GGUGGCUCCGCGCCGCGGCGGCUGAAGGGAUGGCAGUUCUGGGAAGGGGGGCCGCCGUGUCCGCCCUUCCCGCCGCCUCCGCCCCUAGGCCCACCAAGGGUCAGAACACUCAGCCGUAAAAAGGAUGAACGAUCGGGGUGGGCGAAUCUGCAGAGAAUCACGCUGCAUGAAAAUCGCCAAUCGUCCAGGGUUCCCCCGAACGAUCACGUUUAUGUAACAUUCUUGAGAUGAGAUUCUAGAAGCGGGGAACAGGGGAUCUUCCCAACCCAGGGAUGGAACCUGCAUCUCCCACUUGACAGGCAGAUUCUUUACCACUGAGCCACCAGGAUGCUGUGAGGACCAAUGAGGAAGACAGCCAGACCGCCUGGUGGUGGGAAGACCCGGUGACUGUGGAGCCGCAGGCAACCAGCCCUGGAGACGUCUAGUCCCUGGCGUGGGGCUGGAAGUGCUGGGCCGGAAGGGAGACCAAGGUGCGACCCCGUCUCUGAAAACUCAGGUGCGGGGAGCUUCUGGGUCCAGCCCCGCUUUGAUCCUAGUCCGCGACGCGGCAGCACCAUCUGGCGGCCGCGCGCGGGAAUCGCAGGUGAGGAGGGGACGUCGCCCUUCUGGCAAAGUCAGCUAGCCAGCCCUCGCCUGGGUCUUCAAGAUGGUGAAAGCGCCAGCGGUGGAUUGGACAGGGGCCCGUCUGGCGAAGAGAAAUAUGAUUCCCUGCUAAUCUCGCAUUUACUGCAAACAAGAGAUACCUACUGUGAGCCUAAGGAGGAGACGGUGCUAUUAAAACGAGAUAUGUAGAUAUAGCAUCAACAGCAAGCAUGACCUCUAAGGGUCAUGAGUGGAGUGUUCAUUUCACCCCUUGCAGUGGAGAAAUAGGCUUAGGCUUUCCAGGCGGGGGAGGCAGUUAAGCCAGCUGCAUGCUUCUUUCCCCCAGCUGCCCCUUGUUUUGUGUUUCAGAUGAAAAUUAAUAUUGAGGGUUACCUUAAAACUAUCGAAGUAGCUUGAACGUUUUCCCAGAGAAGUAGUUCCUUUUGGUUUUAUUUAAUGGCUUUUCUUUCCUCUACAAACAGCAUCCACCUUCUUUUGGGAAACAAACUUCCAGAGAACUGAGGUUGUGUUUAUAAAUAUAUUUAUCCACCUCUUGGUCUGGCCGCAUUGGGUCUUUGCUGGGCAUGUGGGAUCUAAGUCUCCCACCAGGGACCAAACCCUGGCCCCCUGCAUUGGGAAUGUGGAAUCCUAUCCCCUGAUCACCAGGGAAGUCCACCUAUUUAAUCUUUUCUUUUUUUAAUGGUGGUAAAAUCUGUGUAACAAAAGAUCUGUCAUUUCAACCAUUGUAAAUGGCAUUAAUUAUAUUCAGUGGCAUUAAUUACAUUCAUAGUGCUAUGCAAUGUCACUAUUUUAAUUUCUGAAAAUUUUUCAUCACCCCAAACAGAAACUCACUAAUCCUUAAGCAGUAACUCCAAACUCCCCACUCCACCCAGGUUCUGUACUGAUAAUUCUUCUUUCUAUGAAUUUGCCUAUUCUAGAUAUUUCAUACAAGUGGAAUCAUACAACAGGGGGCCUUUUGUGUCUGGGUUUCCUCGCUUAGCAUGUUUUCAAGGUUCAUCCGUAUCAUAACAUGUAUCAGAACUUCAUUCCUUUUUACUGCUGAAUAAUAUUCCAUUUUAUGCUUAUACCACACUUUAUCCUUUCAUAUGUUGUUUUAAUCUUUCACAGGUGGAUGGACACUUGGGUCAUUUGGCUGUUGUGAAUAAUGUUGAAGUAAUUGUUGGUGCACAAGUGUCUGAGUCCCUUUUAAAAAAUCUUUUGGGUGUAUACCAAGGAGUGAAAUCGCUGCGUCAUAUAGUAACUGUUUUGCUUUUUAAGGAACUGCCAAACUGGUUUUCACAGUGGUUGCAUUGUUUUGGAGAAGGAAACGGCAAUCCACUCCAGCAUUCUUGCCUGGAGAAUUCUGUGGACUGGCUACAGUCCAUGAAGCCGAAGAGUGAGACAUGAGCCUGAGAGACUAACACGCCACGUCCACUGUUUUACAUCCCAAUUGAUUGCUCUGCAUUCUCGUCAGCAUUUGUUAUGUUGCUUUUUUUUUUUUAGUUAUUGUUUUAGCUGUCCUAAUGUUUUUCCUGAUGUCUCAUUUUGGUUUUGUUCUGCAUUACUGCAUUUCCCUGGUGACUAAUGAUGUUCAGAAUCUUUCCUUGGGCUCACUGGCCAUUUGUUUACCUUUGAUGAAAUAGCUAUACAAAUCCCUUGUCCAUUAUUUAAUUGGGUUGUUUGUCUAUUUGUUGUUGAAUACUAGGAAUUCUUGAUAUAUUCUGGAUGUUAUCAGAUAUAUAAUUUGCAAGUAUUUUCUCCCAUUCUGUAGGUUGCCUUUCACUUUUGCGGGGGGGUGGGGAGAGUCCUAUUCCUCUAAAAGCAAUUAACCAGAGUUUUUCUUAGUUCCCUCCUGUAGUUACUUCUAGCUUGCUGCUGAGUUCCCAAGGAAAAAGACUUGGAAGAUGGUUUGGAGGCAUUGUCUUUGCUCAGGGAACAGGCUGGCUGGCUGAGUCUUUUCAGGUCUCUUUGGACAUUUCAGGUAGAGUCUGUGUCUAAAGGAGCUGAGCACCGAAGGUGUGCUGAGACGUGCCGUUCUCCACCUGCUCAGCGCCGCAGACAGCAGCGAACAGCGGCGAGAACCGCGGGAAGACUUCCGCCACCUCCUGGGGCUGGAGCAGCCUGUGACCACGUGAACGUGACUCAGAGUAGCGCGUGUGCAGCACCCCCGUGCCUGCGUGCCUCGGGUCGGCCCGUAAUUCAAGCUUGGUUCCCGGUGUCUCCUGCUCUCUUGAUAAUGUCCUUAGACGCAUACAGUGUUUCAGUUUUGGUGAAAUCCAAUUUAUCUAUUUUUUUGUUUUUGUCUUGAACUUUUGGUAUCAUAUCUAAGAGCCCAUUGCCAAGUCCAAAGGUCCUGGACGUUUACUCCUACUUUCUUCUAAAAGUUUUAUAGUUUAGUUCUUAUAGUUAGGUUUUUGAUCAAUUUUGAGUUAUUUUUGUAAGGGGAGAACUUCAUCCUUGAGUGUGGAAAUCCAGUUGUCCAGAAUCACCUGCAGAGGAGAACAUUCAUCCCCCACUGAAUGAAAUCAGUUGACCAUAGAUGUUUUAGAUGAGGUUUCAUUUGUUUUCACAAAAUGAUCAUGUGUUUUUUUUUCUUCUUCAUACUAUUCAUUUGAUGUGUGACUGUGAUACUUGCUUACAUUGAGUCAUCAUUGUAUUCUUGAACUAAGUCCCUCUUGGUCAUGAUGUAUAAUCCUUUUAAUAUCUUGUUGGAUGCAAUUUGCUAGUAUCUUGCUGAGGCUUUUGCAUCAAUAUUCAUAAGGAAUAUUGUCCUAUAAUUUUAUUUUCCCAUGAUGUCUAUGUCUUGCUUUGGUAUUGGCCUAUGAGUUCACAAGUCCUCCCUCCUCUAAUUUCUUGUAAAAAUUUGAGAAGGGUUAGUGUGAGAAUUCACCAAUGGGCUACCUGGUCCUGGAAUUUGUUGGGAGGUUUUCCUUUUUAAAAAAACUUAACAUUAAAGUGAGAUAUUUGGUUUGUGGGGAGUCAGUGGGGGAACUUGAGGAGUUAAGAAUUAUGUAUAAUUUAAUUCAGGCCCAUACUACCUCAGAAUGAUGUAACAGUUUCUUAAUUUAUUUCCUGCGAUAGACUUUCCCAUAUUCUGAUCAUUCCAAAUAUUAUGGCAAUUAUGUUUUCUAAAUCAUUGCUUUUCCUUGUCACACAAUACUCAAAAAGUGUGAAUGUCUUCCUGUCACUUGUAGAAUUAUUAAUAAUUUUAAAAACUUCAUGAAUUUUAAACUGAUAACUUAUUAAUUUAAAUUAAUAAUUUUAAAAGUGUAAAUAAUUGUUGAACUAUUAAUCAUUUCAAAAAAUUUUAGCAUUAUAUUCAAUCUUCCUUUUGACUCUUUCUCACCUAAGCUCUAAAUUAGCUGCUUCUCCUGCCCUUAUGGGAACUGUGUUCCAGGGAGACUGGUUCAUUCAUUCUCACUUCCGUAACUACUUCUUUCUGGUUAAACCUGAAAUAAGGAAGUGUUUAAGAGCAAAGCCCUACCAAUUAUAAGCCAUGAUCUUGAGCAGUCUCAAGACUGCUCAAAAUAAAAUAUGUGUGCAUUUUUAAUUCAUGUUGGGCUUUUUAAAUAAAGAGGCUUUAAGUGGA